GCCAAACACCGGGUCAGCCCUCAGUUCUUUGCCGGUGGAGGCAUCACCUCUCUCGGCUUGCGUUUUUACAAUGUUGCCUCCGGAGAAACCAACCUGUCCACAGACUCACUGUCUUAAUACUCACCUUAAUACUCAGGAACCGCUCCAGUUCUCCACGUUUACCACUGUCUCUUAGACCAACUCACAACAGCAAAUCCAUGACUCGCAGCUCAUGCUCUGCAUUCCGAAGAGAUUUAUUUCGGAGAGCUGCUGCUCUCUCGGUCGUUCUCUAUAAUAACAGAUUUGUAAUUAUUCCAUGUUAUCGGCUGUUUUGACGCUUAGGCUGGAUUUGCUUCACACUAGCCCAGGCUAUUCGCGUAUACCGACUUCAGCCUCAUACAGACCCGGGUUCCCCGGGCGAGAGUCAUUUAUCUGUGCAUUUUCCUGAUCGAGCUGACGGGAAGGCAGCAACAGCCGCAGCGGCAGCAGCGUAAUAAAGAGACAAGGCUGGAAAAGACAAACCCAGAUGCUGCGUGGAGGAAAAGAGGAAACCAGAUGAUUGAUGAUGAGUGAAUUUUGAGAGAAAAAACAGGGAGAAGGAAAGCGGUGAGUGCCCACUUCGAUACAAACUCUUCCUUGUUUGAACGCAAAUAAAGUUGGAUUUCUGUGAGGCUCUCUGGCACAUUUAGAUCUCUGGCCCAUUUUUAUUUUUAAAUUAGUAUAAAUAUAAUUAUUGUCAGUGCAGUUAUAGCCUAUCAUUUCUGUUGUUACACUGCUGUUUGACACCGUGGAGAUUUUUUGUAUUUCCACAUCCAGCAGGCACAACGAUGAAAUGAUUUAGCGCUCAGUCUCAGAGCUGAGGGCAGGCCGUGGUAGCAUGUAAUCUCCGACAGGUUGUAUUUAGUCAAACCAAGGACAGUGAGGGACAGCCACGGCCCCCACCCGCCUCCCUGCACUCCGCUCUGCUGAGCUCCUUUAGAAAAAUCCAGCGCCGCAGCUCUUGAUUAACUUGGACUCAGUUUGUCAAAGAGCCGCUCGGCGCCAGUCGGCUGAUGCGCCACAAUAAGAACAGUCUCUUGUCUCUUUAUAUUUACCCUGGAGUCGUGCAUGUGGGAGCCCCUCCGGCCCCAUCAGAAGCCUCAUCUGCGGCUCCGCUCCACUUUUCUGCCUCGGUCGGUGUCAGAUAUGAUUUUUUUUUUUUUUCUUAAAACAGAUGCUCUCUCCGGGCAGGAAGUACCAUGUUAUAGGCCACGGGCGGCACCUCGACAAAAACUGAAACAAAAAGUGAUAAUCCUUCUGAAUUAGACUGUUAGAGACAACUGCGCAUUUCCUAUUAACCCCUGGAACUUCGCAGCAUGUCUGCGGCUUUCGGUGGCAGGCGCUCUUAAUGGCCAUAAAAAUGUCUUGAAUAAUAUUUAUAAACUCUAAUUGUUAAUACAUUAAAUCACUCAAUUCCUUCCCUAAUCGUUCGUUAUAUGACUGUAAAACAAUCUAAUUAAGAGACAAAGGUGAAAACAAGACAGUUUUUAUGCUUAAAUGCGAUCUAAAAAUGCAACUCCAGAAUGUUUCAGCAGUAGAACUUGUGUGUCAGAUAAAGCAUGAUAUGUGAUUCAGGAGUAUGAGAUGUUUGUACAUCUCCGCUGUCACACACUUGUUGCUCGGCUUCCGUCACAUUGAUACAGCCAUGCGUAGUCAUCAGGCCAGACAGGAGCAGCUCCAGCACAACAGAGCGCAAUAUACCUGCUUAAAGCCAAAAUAGUUUCUACAAGCCCAAGGAACACAUCAAAUCAGACACAGGUCCCUGGAUCAUCAACUGUUUGACACAGUGAAGGCACCAACAGCAGAGUCAUUUUUAGUCAGCCAGGUGUUGGAACUAAAUGCCAGAGAGCAUCAAGAAUGUAAAAUCAUCAAGUAUGUCUUGCACAUACCUCACAGUUUUCUUAAAAGGUGUAUUGUGGUGUCUGUCUGUUAUAAUUUGGCAACACAGCUGACUUGUUUGGAAUGCUGCACCUUCAUAUAAAAUGACAGAGAUGGAGCGGCGGCAGUUUGUCAGAGUUUCGAAACUGCAUGCAUGGAGCUUUACUGGGGAGAAAAAAAGAUUAGUAACAUAUGGAGGUGGAUAACGGUUUUUCUGCCGGAAUACCCAACUGGAUAAUUGUAUCAACAACGCUUGUGCAAAUUAGUCACCAUUUAUUUGUUCUGUGCCGUCAACGGUACAGAAAUCUCCAUUACGCGCGAUUUAAAAGUCAUUAAGUCGAGGGAGGACUGCUCCGAGCUGCUGGUAGAUCUACAUAGACGGGGCACUGUGCUAGAUUAACAUAUUCUGUGUUGGGGAUUAAUGAAAACAGUACAUUUGCUCCUUAGACUUGUUCAUUGGGAAUGUGUUCUGUGUGGCAGCUGGGAAUGUAGAGGAGAGGCAUUGAUUAUGAAGAGCAGAAUAUCUUGCAAAAAUGCCAAAAAUCUAACGUGGAAACAUAUCCAAAACAGGAGUUUAUUCAGAAGUUGUCCCUCAUUUGCCCCACCAUAAGUAGUUCAGAUAAUUUAUGAUAUUGAUAAAAUAUGUAUUGUAUACCCAGAAAAGAUUCAAAAUAAGCAGGUUUGGUAUCUUAAAAUUGAGAUAUUUGAUGCAAAGAGUUGUCAGACACCCGGUGAGAUUACAGUUAGAGUGAAUUAAAUGCUUGCAUAAAGCUUUCCGUAGGAAGAUGACCAAAGCUUUAAUAUGUCCUUGAUCCGCCCGCUCAAUACAUACAGUACAAUGUAAUACAACUGCAGAUCUUAAAAUGUGCGUAAAAAGCGCCUGCCGUCCCGGUGAUUUGGCUCCUGUGUCAGCGAUCCGCGCCAAAGACGCUCUAAUUACAACAUAACGGGGCCGUUUUGCGCCAUAUUCGUCUAUAAUCGACUAUUGUUAUUUUCUUCCUCCCUUCGACAUUGUUCUAUUCUUCCUUUUAUCUCUCCAUCUUCUCCUCCCAUCUCCCCGCAUCAUCUCUCCAGCUAUAUUUAGCGGCUAGACUGAGGCCUUGGCGCCAGACCGUUUAAGACCUGUCAAAGUCCCUCAUAUUUCCCCUUGUCACAUGGAAAGCCGGCGACCAGCGGCCCUCUCCUCCUCCUUUUUUUCUUUUCCUCCUCCUUCUCCUUUUUUCUUUUCCUUCCUCUCCCUCAUCCUCCUCCUGAGCAGUCCUUCUCCACCUCCUCCUCCAGCUCCUCUACAGUUCACUCCGCUAAAUGAAACAUAUCAGUUCUCACUUGAAGGAAAAGCAGAAUGUUUCCUCAACCCCUUCCCAACACCACACACACACACACACACACACACACACACACACACACACACACACACACACACACACACACACACAGAGAGAGAGAGAGAGAGAGAGAGAGAGAGAUGUCUAAUAUAUUAUUGGGAACAAUACAGGGAUUGGACUACAGUAGGCCUACUACCUUAUGGAUCACAGUUCUUUCAUAAAACAAACAUUUUUGCUGAACAUGACUCAAUGACAAACUCAAUCAUAAACUACAACCCCUCACAUCCAGUUACCUUCCAGUCGUAAAGCCUGUUUCACCCUCCAAUUCUCACAGUCAUGUAUCUGGACUGCAGUUACAGUAUUGUCUGGAGGCUGUGGGUGCAUCUGGCUGACAGGUAGACCACCAGGUGGGGGCGCUGUAGUGACCUAGAGUGACAAAGCUGUCACAUACACAGGCGUUACAGCAGCCAACACUUUGAUGCUAUAGACACCCACAGUGUGGCCAGGUUUAGUCCCACAGAGCCUCAUAGGAAGGUUGGGCUUGAUUUACUGUUGGAUUCUUUACAUCGCAGUGGUUUUCAUUCACUGUAUUGUUACUUUUUCAGAACCAGCCAUAAGUUACAGUGCUUAGGAGACUUGGCUCUGAACCCCACAAACAAAGUCAGUAUGACCACAGGUGAAUCAGUGCAUGACGCACUGCAGAAUUGUGCGCACGCCUGUGUAUUUGUCCAGUACGACAAACACGAUUACUGCAUGUGACGCGUGCUUCCAAAUAUAUCACACUGACAUUAAAUAGUUAUUUCAGUUAUUGAUUACUGUCAUUACUGUCUCAUUUUCCCCAUACAGCCUUAAUAAAAAUAUCUUCUCUCUCCUUUGAGCCAAAAAUCCCCUCACAUUCCGCCAGGUCCCACACAGACUAGAUUUCUGAAAUCACCAAUAGAGAUGUAAAAGCACAUUUUGCGUAAGUACUUCAAAUUUUAAAUGCAGUAAUAGAAAAACAAAUUAGAUCCCACUGAAUCAUCGUCUUAAAAAUCCCAGCCACGUAAAUAUCCUGUUUAGACUUAACCGGACUGUAGUUGUGGGUCCCCGAAACAAAUAAACUGACUGAAAACGUUUAAUUCUGUAAAAACAAAAAGGCCUCUGCACGAAAGACUUUGUUUAAAAAGAGAUUUCCCAUGUGAACACUUUGAAAAUAGAUUGCUGUUUUUUUAAUCCAACCACUUUUUCAUCUAUUUGAGACAUUAUUUCUAUACAGACUCUCUAACUUCCUUUUAUUUUGAAAAUAGAUGACUCUAAUUUGAUCAUUUCGAACUUUAAAAUCCUUCCUGUAAUUGGAUUUUGUGUGUAGCCUAUUUUCAGAUUUUGUGUAAAGGUGCUUCGAAGAAAAAAAAUUUAAAGAUUUUUAGCCAAAAAUCUACCUGCGUCCUAUGAAUGCAAGAGAAGGACUGCGCUGUCUAUUUGUUUUGUUGAAGAGAAGCUGUCGACCCAUACUUAAUCACAACACGUUUAAGCAUCGGUCUUUUUAUAUAAUCCAGCUGACAAUAUUUAAGUGUUAUGUUCGUUGAGACGCAUUUUUUAAACCGGUAAAAAUAAUCUUUUGUGUAUUUGCAGAUGUGUUGACAGCGUGGAGAAAUUGAAUUAGCAGCUGCAGCGCUGGGAACAUUGAAUCAUAUUAGGAGCGCAGCAGAGGAGCAGCGGCUACCUGUAGGCCGGAGGGAAUAAGGGAGAGGGUCUCUGCUCCUCUACUGUCACUCAGUGAGGAGAAGAGCUCUCAGACACAGCACGGAGGAGACACAACCCAGCUAAUCACAAAUCCUGCAUGACAGAAAACACAAUGAUUUCCAAAUAUAUUCACAACCGCUCAACCAGUGAAAAGUCUUACUUUCGAUUUCAGCAGUUAGUUUAAAAUAUCAUAUUUUAGUGUUUGAUUAUUGCCAAAAACACCAUUAUAAUCACCCAAAUAACAUUAAUAAUUUCAAACGUUUAGCCCUGAAAUAACUUGAAAAUGUUUCAGAGUUUCAAAUUAUGCCGAGAUACAAGAUGAAUGAAAAAUCGAAGAUUAGAUUUUUUAAAUUAUCUGCGGCUUCAACACGCAGUCAAAAUUAACAAAACGUCUAUUAAUGUUAUUUAACGUAGCCUAAAUCAUGUCAUAUAAUGCCGUCGACUUAAGUAAGUUGGACAUAUAUUGAUGAGAUGAUGAUUGCAAUGCAAAAAACUGUGCCCCCUACAGUCCUCUAUCACAUUAUGGUGCACACAACGAUUUAAUGCGGGCUAAUUAAAAUGAAAGUGAGCCUAAAAUUUUGGAAGGUAAGUGAAGGUAAAUUGAUCGCUGCUUCCUCCGCCGUCUAGGUAGGCCUAAGUGUUUUAUUAUUUGCCAUGUAAAAUCACAUGAACCUAAAACAGCACUGAGAAUCAAAGCUGAUUCAUGUGUUUCUUGAAGGACAAAGAUGGCAGAUGAAACUACUGAAGCUUAUCCAGAAAAAUCCCGCUCAUGUUCCUGAUUCAAAUCUAAUCUCCUUCCAACCUGACAGCAGCAAGCUGAGCUCAGAUCAGAGAGCACAUCUCCAGCUUUGUCUUGGACACCUUAUACUGUACAGGUCUUGACACACUGAUGGUGAGUUUUAGUGCUUACAAAGCUGUCUCUGUGCCAGUGGCUUUCAAAAUUGGUUUCAAGGACCUCCAGGGGCCCUGAGGGUGUGGCAAAAAGUUUAAUUUUAGUGUCAUUUCACCGUCAGAAAUGAUCCCGAUGAGACUUAAGUCUGAAAAUCAACCUGAUUUUUAGAUUUCGAUGGUUGUACAAUUUAACCAAAAGUCAAAGAUUCAACUCUUCAUUACAAUUAUAAUUUGAUCUAUCUGCAGUCUUAAGGAAAUGUCUCGGACCUUGGUGUAGCCUACAUGUUUUCUGCAGCAGCUCAUAAGCACCCUCAGCCAGAGCUAAUUACUCAUCAAUUGUCGAAAUCACCUGCUGCAGUGCAGCAGCUCUGUCUGACCUCUCUGAAUUAGAUGGUCAUUAUUCUAAAUGUUGCAGUUCUCUCAGGUUCCUCAGAUAAAUUGAAUAUUAUCUAUUUCACUCAAAAUGAACCUGACCAUUGCAACCUUCUCACCAUGCCUUGUGGCAGUUCAAUAUUAAAACUUAUACAUUUUCAGGGACUAACUGGGAUUAAAUGUAUUUAAGGUCCAGGAUGCAAAGCAAAUUCAGACCCUCCUGCUCCCACUGUGUUUCUAAGCAAUCUGUCAUUCACAGGGCAGGCUAGGUGCUGUUAAAGGAUUUAAUGAGAAGACGGAGUGAUGGUAAAACAUGCAGGUCCAAGUUUCUCCUGACCUGUAGCAGAUCCUACUAUAUCCCUGGAGGGGGACUCAGACAUGGCAUCAGCCAGUCUCUCCCGGAGGCCUUCAUCACUGGCGUCUGCUGAGCCAACAUUGUGCCGUGGCACACCAAAGCUUUCAGGCCAGCUACCACAUACUUCCAGCAGAGUCACCCCACGCCCGUCAAAUGGACCUGCAUGCAAAAAACAAACACAAGGCCUCAUUGAACCGUCACAGACCAGAUGACUGAUAACAGAAUACUGACCUGCUGGGGGAACCUCCACUGUGUCAGCGUUGGAUGGCAUUGACAGUACACCAUCAUCCUCACCGUGAUCAACGCCAGGCUCCUCUGCAAGCAAGACUGUAAAGUUUGCAAUAUUCCCAAGAAAGAGAUGCUGAACAGAACAGGGUUUCAGGCGCAACUAGCAUCUUCUCUCAUCCUGGAGAGGGUGACCAUCUUUAGGCAGUGGGAGCCCUGUAUCACUAGUGACAUCACAGAGCCCUUUGACAUCCAUGACAAUAACACCACAAAGACCAGUGACUGCUCCGAAGAGGUCAUGUGUACCACCAGUGGAUGUGCACAAGGACAUGAUCGCACAUUUCCCAGUAAAGACAAAGUGAGGAUGCUGCGGAUAUUGCAAUAAAGGCUACUCUAAUACGCUCUGCAGGAAGUGCAGUGUCCGUCUCUGCUUUUCAGAGGAAAGGAACUGCUUUUUGGAGUACCACUGUACAUGAACACUGGGCACUGGUUUUUGAACAAAGUUGGCAUCGCUGUCUUCUCCCACUAAUCCAGGUUCCGCCAGCGUGUCCUGGGU